GGGUGAGUAACGCGUGGGUAACCUGCCGUAUACAGGGGGAUAACACUUAGAAAUAGGUGCUAAAACCGCAUAAGCGCACAGGAUCGCAUGGUCUGGUGUGAAAAACUCCGGUGGUAUACGAUGGACCCGCGUCUGAUUAGCUUGUUGGCGGGGUAGAGGCCCACCAAGGCGACAAUCAGUAGCCGGCCUGAGAGGGUGAACGGCCACAUUGGGACUGAGACACGGCCCAAACUCCUACGGGAGGCAGCAGUGGGGAAUAUUGCACAAUGGGGGAAACCCUGAUGCAGCGACGCCGCGUGAGUGAAGAAGUAUUUCGGUAUGUAAAGCUCUAUCAGCAGGAAAGAAAAUGACGGUACCUGACUAAGAAGCCCCGGCUAACUACGUGCCAGCAGCCGCGGUAAUACGUAGGGGGCAAGCGUUAUCCGGAUUUACUGGGUGUAAAGGGAGCGUAGACGGUGAAGCAAGUCUGAAGUGAAAGGCGGGGGCUCAACCCCCGGACUGCUUUGGAAACUGUUUGACUGGAGUGCAGGAGAGGUAAGUGGAAUUCCUAGUGUAGCGGUGAAAUGCGUAGAUAUUAGGAGGAACACCAGUGGCGAAGGCGGCUUACUGGACUGUAACUGACGUUGAGGCUCGAAAGCGUGGGGAGCAAACAGGAUUAGAUACCCUGGUAGUCCACGCGGUAA
rnacentral:rRNA from 1 species